GAUGAAGAACGCAGCGAAAUGCGAUAAGUAGUGUGAAUUGCAGAAUUCAGUGAAUCAUCGAAUCUUUGAACGCACAUUGCGCCCGCCAGUAUUCUGGCGGGCAUGCCUGUCUGAGCGUCGUUUCGACCCUCGCGCCCGGCUUCUGUCGGGGGCGGUGUUGGGGAUCGGCCACACCCUUCAGUGGGAGGCCGGCCCCUAAAUUCAGUGGCGACCACGCUGUAGCCUCCCCUGCGUAGUACUAAAACCACCUCGCAGGCGGAGAGCGGUGCGGCCCGCCGUAAAACCCCCCAACUUUUACAAGGUCGACCUCAGAUCAGGUAGGAAUACCCGCUGAACUUAAGCAUAUCAAUAAGCGGAGGA
rnacentral:misc_RNA from 1 species